UAGUUUAUUUCAUGUUGGGGUUAUUGUAACUGUCUUGCUAUGCAUACUUAAACAAACCUUAUAAGGAGGCAUAGAUUUAUUUACCGUGUGAUCUAAGACUUUUGGAUGUCAUGACUAAUAAAGUUGUUGACUCGAUCUAAUUGAUGCGGUUCUGAAUCUUUAAUGGGCACCUGUCAUG